GAUGAACGCUGACAGAAUGCUUAACACAUGCAAGUCAACUUGAACUUCGGUUUGGGUGGCGGACGGGUGAGUAACGCGUAAAGAACUUGCCUCACAGAUAGGGACAACAUUUGGAAACGAAUGCUAAUACCUGAUAUUAUGAUUUAGGGCAUCCUAGGAUUAUGAAAGCUAUAUGCGCUGUGAGAGAGCUUUGCGUCCCAUUAGCUAGUUGGAGAGGUAACGGCUCACCAAGGCGAUGAUGGGUAGCCGGCCUGAGAGGGUGAUCGGCCACAAGGGGACUGAGACACGGCCCUUACGCCUACGGGAGGCAGCAGUGGGGAAUAUUGGACAAUGGACCAAGAGUCUGAUCCAGCAAUUCUGUGUGCACGAUGAAGUUUUUCGGAAUGUAAAGUGCUUUCAGUUGGGAAGAAAAAAAUGACGGUACCAACAGAAGAAGUGACGGCUAAAUACGUG
rnacentral:rRNA from 1 species